GACGAACGCUGGCGGCGUGCUUAACACAUGCAAGUCGAACGGAAAGGCCCUGCUUUUGUGGGGUGCUCGAGUGGCGAACGGGUGAGUAACACGUGAGUAACCUGCCCUUGACUUUGGGAUAACUUCAGGAAACUGGGGCUAAUACCGGAUAGGAGCUCCUGCUGCAUGGUGUGGGUUGGAAAGUUUCGGCGGUUGGGGCUGGACUCGCGGCUUAUCAGCUUGUUGGUGGGGUAGGUGCUUACGAAGGCUUUGACGGGUAGCCGGCCUGGGAGGGUGACCGGCCACAUGAGGACUGAGAUACGGACCAGACUCCUACGGGAGGCAGUAGGGGAGAAUAUUGCACAAUGGGCGGAAGCCUGAUGCAGCAACGCCGCGUGCGGGAUGACGGCCUUCGGGUUGUAAACCGCUUUCGAAUGUGACGAAGCGUGAGUGACGGUAAUGGGUAAAGAAGCACCGGCUAACUACGUG
rnacentral:rRNA from 1 species